AGAGUUUGAUCCUGGCUCAGGAUGAACGCUAGCGGGAGGCCUAACACAUGCAAGCCGAGCGGUAGAGAUUCUUCGGAAUCUUGAGAGCGGCGCACGGGUGCGGAACACGUGUGCAACCUACCUUUAUCAGGGGGAUAGCCUUUCGAAAGGAAGAUUAAUACCCCAUAAUAUAUUGAAUGGCAUCAUUGAAUAUUGAAAACUCCGGUGGAUAGAGAUGGGCACGCGCAAGAUUAGAUAGUUGGUGAGGUAACGGCUCACCAAGUCAAUGAUCUUUAGGGGGCCUGAGAGGGUGAUCCCCCACACUGGUACUGAGACACGGACCAGACUCCUACGGGAGGCAGCAGUGAGGAAUAUUGGACAAUGGGUGAGAGCCUGAUCCAGCCAUCCCGCGUGAAGGACGACGGCCCUAUGGGUUGUAAACUUCUUUUGUAUAGGGAUAAACCUAGAUACGUGUAUCUAGCUGAAGGUACUAUACGAAUAAGCACCGGCUAACUCCGUGCCAGCAGCCGCGGUAAUAC
rnacentral:rRNA from 1 species